rnacentral:rRNA from 1 species
GAGGCAGCAGCUAAGAAUCUUCCGCAAUGGGCGCAAGCCUGACGGAGCGACGCCGCGUGAACGAUGAAGGCCUUUCGGGUUUGUAAAGUUCUUUUAUAAGAGACGAAUGUCUGGUGUAGGCCAGACUGACUGUAUCUUUUGAAUAAGGUCCGGCUAACUACGUGCCAGCAGCCGCGGUAAUACGUAGGGACCAAGCGUUGUUCGGAAUUAUUGGGCGUAAAGGGUACGUAGGCGGCAUGAUAAGUCAGAUGUGAAACCCUCGGGCUCAACCUGAGGCCUGCGUCUGAUACUGUUGUGCUAGAGUUACUGAGAGGAAGACGGAAUUCCUGGUGUAGGGGUGAAAUCUAUAGAUAUCAGGAAGAACACCUAUUGCGAAGGCAGUCUUCUGGCAGCUAACUGACGCUGAUGUACGAAAGUUAGGGUAGCAAACAGGAUUAGAGACCCUGGUAGUCCUAACCGUAAACGUUGUAUACUAGGUGGUUUGAAGUAUUGAUCCUUUGACUGCCGGAGCUAACGCAUUAAGUAUACCGCCUGGGGAGUAUGCCGGCAACGGUGAAACUCAAAGGAAUUGACGGGGGCCCGCACAAGCAGUGGAGCAUGUUGUUUAAUUCGAAGAUACGCGAGAAACCUUACCAGGUCUUGACAUAUACCUGAAUGGUGUGGAAACACAUCCGCCCCUCGGGGCAGGUAUACAGGUGCUGCAUGGUUGUCGUCAGCUCGUGCCGUGAGGUGUUGGGUUAAGUCCCGCAACGAGCGCAACCCUUAUUCUUUGUUGCUAACAGGUUAAGCUGAGCACUCUAAGAAGACUGCCGGUGACAAACCGGAGGAAGGUGGGGAUGACGUCAAAUCAUCACGGCCAUUAUGAUCUGGGCUACAAACGUGCUACAAUGGCAGGCACAAAGAGUUGCGAUACCGCGAGGUGGAGCUAAUCUCAA